rnacentral:lncRNA from 1 species
GGUAAGUGCUCUUUAGAAUUUAAAAUAAGUUACAUGUACUGGUUUUCCUUUAUUUUGUAGUUUUGUUCUCAAAGAAUUCCAGAUAUGAUUUUUUUCCAGACAAAAAUACCUGCUACAUGCUUCCUUCUGUAUGAAUACAUGAGACCUACCUUCAUUCAUGUUUCCUCUAUGAAGCUUUCCCUGCACUCCAAACACAGAGCUGAGACUUCCACCUAAUGUAGAAAGCUAGCACGAGCCGGCGCUGACAGAUGGAAGACUUGAGAUGUUACAAGAUUAUAUAUGGAAACACAAAAGGAGUGGAGUUGCUGGGUCAUAUGGCAAUUCAUUUGAGGAACUGAGAAGCUUAUUCCAUGGAGGCUGAACUGUUUUAUAUUCCCACCAGCAACGUUAGAGACGGGGUUUCACCGCGUUAGCCAGAAUGGUUUCUAUCUCCUGACCUCAUGAUCCGCCCACCUCGGCCUCCCAAAGUGCUGGGAUUACAGGCGUGAGCCACUGUGCCUGGCCAAACGCUGGUAGGUUUUGAGUGAGACCACAUUACAUUUAAAUAUAUUUACAAUGUUUUCUGCUCUAUUCUUUAGUAGACUUUUCCUCACGUGGUCCUACGCAUUUCUUUCUAAGUUUAUUUUCAUAUAGCCUAUCCCUGUCUACAAUUUAAAUUGGGAUCUUCUAUAUUCUAGUUAUUAUUUGUAAAUAAGAAAACUACUGACUUUUUUCUAGUAUAUUUUCUCAGAAUAGGAUUUUCUAUUUUUCUAUAAAAUGACCAAUGUUAUGAAGCUUCGUAAGUUUUGUCAAAGUGAUACACACAUACAGCAAAAAAUCAAAUAGUACAGAAGUAUAAAAGCAACAACCUCUGCCUUGCCCCUUCUCCACCUUCAGGUCCCCUUCCCAGAUACAAUAAUUUUUAGCUUUUUAUUUUUAAUUAUUCUGGUUGUUACCUACAUAACUCUGGGCAAUAUGGAAAAGUUAUUGAUUUUGUAUAUUAAUUUCAUAAUCAGUUACCUUGAUGAAUUCUCUUGUUUCUAGUAGUUUUUCUUUAGGGUUUUAAAGGGAUACAAUCAUACCAUUUGCAGUUAGUAACCAUUUUAUCUCCUCUUAUUUCCAACUUCGUACUGUUUUCUCUUGUCUAAUUUGUUUUUAAUUGGUGGGUACUUCUAGAACAAGGUUAAAUAAAAGUGGUGUUGGUGGGCGUCCUUAUUUCUGAUAUUAAUGGGAAUGAGUAUAAUGUAUAAAUAUAUAACCAUGAUUUUGGUUUUUUUCCAAGUUUUUAUCAGUAAUGAUUGCUGAGUUUUAUCAAAAUUUUUUUGGCAUCCAUUGAGAGGAUUAUAUAUUACUCUUUGACACAUUAAUGUGGUUAAUUAAAGUAACCAACUUAUUAACCU